GCACAGCUGUAGCUGCUGAAUUUCUGGCCGAGGGCGCAGUUAUGUAUUUUCAUUUUCAGGCAGGUUGUCAGGUUUGCACGUUAUAAACCAGCCUGUUGGGAGUCAAGCCAGAUUGAGCUGUUUCAUCCUGUUUUAGCACUUUUUUGGCUUGUGGGCGAUCAUAGUAGAACAGCACCCUGUGGAAUAAGCUGCGAGAGCUGCUAUUCAUGCGUGUUUUGGACAAAUAGGCAGUUAACGCUCCCCAUGCUGACAGCGGGGGUGAGAGCUCAU